CUCCGUACAGACAUUCCAGUGUUAUCCUUGCUUUCAUGAAUCAUGUUAUUUACCCCAGAUUGUUUCCUGACCACUGAUUUCUGCCUAACCCUCCGGAUUGUGGUUGAGUCAGGAGUGACCCAGUUGCAUAGGUUCAGGAGGCUCUGUUGAAGUUGGGACAAAAUCAUGGGAGAGGCACCUGACGUCUCCAUUCAGACUGUCUUUCUCUAUACCGACCAUCAAUUCUGGUUACCAGAUCCAUGAAUGCUCAGAGACGUCUGGGCCGGUUAUACGCAGCUGAAACAAAGGUGAUGGGCUACAGCUGCAGAAACCUGCCCAGAAGUGGGUUAGAUGGGGAGAAGCCAGCAAUAACUGAUGGUCCUAACUGGAGCCAGGUUUGAAUGUAACUAAGUACUUCAUGUCUAAAUUACAAGAUUUGAGUGCAAAUUAGCUGUCACUGCCACUUGAGCAUUAAUGGAGAAUAUAUGCAAAAUAGAAGACUGAACAUAAAGGUAGGUGAGA